rnacentral:sRNA from 17 species
AUCGCUUGCCCUCCUUGGGCGUUUCCUCCCUAUAACUUGGGUCGCUUGUUCGACGAGCGGCCCUUUUUCUUUGCAAC